GUCCUCAUGAAAAGGCUGCUUGGUGAGCAUGGGCAGCAGGAGCCUCAGGCAGGGCCAGACUGAGCAUGGGUGACCUGGCUGCAGUCAUCUGCCUUCUGCUGCUCUGGAGUCCAGGUGCCAGUGGGAGCCCAGGGCUGACACAGUCACCAGAAUCCCUGACUGUGUCUCAAGGAGAGAGCGCCUCCAUCACCUGCACUGCCAAUGAGAGCAUCAGCGACUAUCUAACCUGGUACCAGCAGAAACCAGGCCAGGCUCCCAAGAUUCUCAUCUAUGAUGCUGAUAAUCUAUGGUCUGGUGUCUCAGACCGUUUUUCCGGGAAACAGUCCGGAACAGAAUUCAUUCUCAAAAUCAGCAGGGUAGAGGCUGAGGAUGCUGCCAGCUAUUACUGCCAGCAGGACUAUGCAGUCCCUCCCACACAGUCACAGCCCCAUACACAAACCCUCCUCCCAGGGAUGGUACAGGGAGUCACAUGGUGUCACCAGCUGCCCUCUGCCAUGGGGCAUGCUCAGAGGUACUGGGUCUGGUGGAAAGCACUGGCCAGACUCAAGAUAAAGGCCUGAAAGGGACUUCAGACUUCUGAAAGCAGGCUGUCCCACUACCACCACCAUGAGGGACACUGACCAGCAGCACACACUCCACAGCCAGU